rnacentral:misc_RNA from 1 species
CUUCUCCUGACCGGCUGUGUCC